rnacentral:rRNA from 1 species
UACGUAGGGGGCUAGCGUUGUCCGGAAUUACUGGGCGUAAAGAGCUCGUAGGUGGUUUGUCGCGUUGUUCGUGAAAACCGGGGGCUUAACCCUCGGCGUGCGGGCGAUACGGGCAGACUUGAGUACUGCAGGGGAGACUGGAAUUCCUGGUGUAGCGGUGGAAUGCGCAGAUAUCAGGAGGAACACCGGUGGCGAAGGCGGGUCUCUGGGCAGUAACUGACGCUGAGGAGCGAAAGCGUGGGGAGCGAACAGG